GAUGAACGCUAGCUACAGGCUUAACACAUGCAAGUCGAGGGGUAACGAGAGGAAAGCUUGCUUUCCUUGUCGACGACCGGCGCACGGGUGAGUAACGCGUAUCCAACCUGCCCCCAACUAAGGAAUAACCUUGCGAAAGUAAGACUAAUACCUUAUAAUUUCCUCAGAUGUCAUCUGACGAGGAAUAAAGAUUUAUCGGUUGUGGAUGGGGAUGCGUCUGAUUAGCUUGUUGGCGGGGUAACGGCCCACCAAGGCAACGAUCAGUAGGGGUUCUGAGAGGAAGGUCCCCCACAUUGGAACUGAGACACGGUCCAAACUGCUACGGGAGGCAGCAGUGAGGAAUAUUGGUCAAUGGGCGGAAGCCUGAACCAGCCAAGUAGCGUGCAGGAUGACGGCCCUAUGGGUCGUAAACUGCUUUUAUACAGGAAUAAAGUUAGCCACGUGUGGUUAUUUGUAGGUACUGUAUGAAUAAGGACCGGCUAAUUCCGUGCCAGCCGCCGCGGUAA
rnacentral:rRNA from 1 species